UGAUUAAAAGAGUUUAUUUAAUUGUUAUAAAAAAAAUAUUUUUAUAUUUUAGUAUUAUUAUUUGAACGAAUUAUUUUAAUGAUAGAGAAUUAGUAUAGUAAUAGAAUUUUAGUAAUAAAAAUUAAAGAAAAAUUUAAUUUUUGUACCUUUUGUAUCAGGGUUUAUUAAUUUAUAUUUAUAGAGGUAGAAUUCUCGAUUUUAAAAGAGCGAAUUAUUUAUAAAUUUUAUUGUAAAAUAAAUAUUUAAAAUAAAUAAUUAGUAAUGAAACGUUAUUCGUUUUUAAAUAUAUCUAGUUUCUAAAGAAAAAAAUUGAAUUUUAUUUAUAGAUAAAUAUUAUUUUUAUUAAAAAGAUUAAUAUUAUUUAUAAUUUAAAUUAUAAGGGAUAAGCUUUAUAAUUGAAUUUUAAAAGACUAUUAUUUUAUAUUUAAAGGGUAGGAUUAGUAAUUUCUUUCAUAUAAUUUGUUAUAAUUAAUUAAAUUAAAAUAAAAAUUUAUAUAGGCUUUAAGUUUUUUAUUUAGAUAUUAAAUUUAAUUUAAAUAUUUAAGUAAUAAUGAUAAAAUUAGUAUAUUAUCUUGUAUUUUUAAAUUUGUAAUGUAAGGCUAUAUUAAGGAAUUCAGCAAGUAUAUUUUUCGCCUGUUUAUUAAAAACAUGUCUUUUUGAAUAUAAUUUAAAGUCUAGCCUGCCCACUGAUAGUUUAAAUGGCCGCAGUAUUUUGACUGUGCAAAGGUAGCAUAAUCAUUAGUUUUCUAAUUAAGAACUGGAAUGAAAGGUUGAACGAGAAAGUAACUGUCUCGGUAUAGAUUAUUUAGAAUUUUAUUUUUAAGUCAAAAAGCUUAAAUAAGAUUAAAAGACGAGAAGACCCUAUAGAGUUUUAUAUAAAUUUAUUUAAUUAAUUAAUUUGAAUUUUUAAUUUAUUAAUUAAUUUUAUAUUUGGUUGGGGUGAUUAAAAAAUUUAAGUAACUUUUUUUAUAUUAAAACAUUUAUUUAUGAUUUAUUGAUCCAUUUAUAAUGAUUAAAAGAUUAAAUUACCUUAGGGAUAACAGCGUUAUUUCUUUUAAGAGUUCUAAUCGAUAAAGAAGUUUGCGACCUCGAUGUUGGAUUAAAAUUAAAUUUUGGUGUAGAAGCUAAAAGAUUAGGUCUGUUCGACCUUUAAAAUUUUACAUGAUCUGAGUUUAAACCGGUGUGAGCCAGGUUGGUUUCUAUCUUUAAUUAAUUAUAAUAUUUUAGUACGAAAGGACCAAAUAUUAAUAAAAUUUAUUAGAUUUUGAAUAUUAUUAUUAU
rnacentral:rRNA from 1 species